GAGCGCCGUAGCAAUACGGAGCGGCAGACGGGAGAGUAACACGUGGGAACAUGCCCUUCGGUUCGGAAUAACUCAGGGAAACUUGAGCUAAUACCGGAUACGUCCGUAAGGAGAAAGAUUUAUCGCCGAAGGAUUGGCCCGCGUCCGAUUAGCUAGUUGGUGGGGUAAUGGCCCACCAAGGCGACGAUCGGUGGCUGGUCUGAGAGGAUGAUCAGCCUCACUGGGACUGAGACACGGCCCAGACUCCUACGGGAGGCAGCAGUGGGGAAUAUUGGACAAUGGGCGCAAGCCUGAUCCAGCCAUGCCGCGUGAGUGACGAAGGCCUUAGGGUUGUAAAGCUCUUUUGCUCGGGAAGAUAAUGACGGUACCGAGAGAAUAAGCCCCGGCUAACUUCGUG
rnacentral:rRNA from 1 species